rnacentral:ncRNA from 1 species
GGCCGUUUCGUUCCGUAUGCGGGAAUAAGAGGCGGUUGCGCGAAAUCGUCUGCUGAAAACCGCUCCCGCGGAACGGCUCCGGCAAGGAUAGCCGGAGCAAGC